ensembl:lncRNA
GACUGAUCAGUCAACCCUUGCAAAAAUCGAGCAAGGUCUGAAAAUAAAAAGAAAGAAGUCCUGUGUUCCCAUGAUGAUGUCAUAAUUUCAUUUUGUGUCAAGAAAACCUGUGGCUGGUCUGGGUAUUGUCAUGAUUCCUCAUCUCUCCUGGCAGCACAUAAUGAGAGUUGCAAAGACCUAAAUUGGAUUAGAACAGCUUGCCUGUCUUCUUCAGGGAUCCUCAGGGACCAGUGACCAUUCAGUCUUUUAACAGUAAGGUGAAGGGUAGCCCAUGUGCUCAGCCUUGGGGGGUUACAUCUGGUUUGGAAACUUCCUGUUGUGUGUAACACACGGACUGUGCAUCCGUAGCUGUUUCAUGAGUAAUACGCAGAGUGUCUGUGUUGGGUAUUUUAAAGUACGUGAGAGGGUUGUAUUUCAGCAGCUGAUGGGAUGCCAAAUGUUUGACUUUUUAUUAUUCCAGCCCUUCAGAUUUCCCCAGAAUUGUCACCUUCUAGAGCAUGUGUCUUCCCAGUGUGUUCCAGGAAUUCUCUAUUUAUGCCACCGCGAUGUUGCUCAGAAAACAACAGAGCUUUCAGUCAGUUCAGGGCUUCAGCCAGCCUGGCCUUCCAGCUGCCACCCAGCAGCUCAGCUCAGCACCUCAGAACCUUCUGGCCCAGACCUUCACUCCCAACUCCCGCCCAGGGGCAAAUGCAGAAGCCUCUGCUGGCGCAGCCAACAUGGGAGUGGGGGAAAGGGGAAGAGGAAAAGCAACAGCUCAGGGUGUGGUAAGAGUGCUCAAGGUGCUUCUCAGCUCAGGGCAUUGGUAAGAGUGGGUGGAAUUUACAUGUUAAGAACUUUCAUUAACCAAAUACCCAAAUGGUGACAGUAAAGCAAAUUCGGACUAGUUAUGUUUCUGGAAGGUUUCAGAUAUUUGGGCCCCCAAGAUGGCCGAGAACUCAUUUCUCAGCACCUCUUCUCAUAGCCUUCAAGAAAAACAGUGAACCUCUAAGAACCUCUGAAUUCUAUCUUUGUCUUUAAUAUGUAUGUGUUGGAUGGGGUGGGGGUAUUAAUGGAAUGUUUCAGAUCACUAAUCUCACAGACAAUGCAAUGACAAGAUAAAGUUUAUUAGAUAGAGAAUGUUAAUACAGCUGAAACCUUUGAAGAAUUCAGACCAGUCCUCGGACCAUUCAUCCUGAGCACCUGGAAUGUUAUAUGAUCCUGAGUCGGUUAUUUCCCCUCUAUGACUUCAGCUGUAAGAUGACACUGUUCUUUUGUACCAGUACAUGAAGACUAGCUAAUUAAAAUACUGUACUAGUUCAUUCAAAAAGUAUUUACUGAGUUGCUACUACGUACAAGGCAUCAUGCAAACAGAUUGUGCAGUAUUACAUAAAAUUUUAAAAAUAGAUUUCCAUAAAUAAACACCAUGAUAGGAUUAUGUAACAUCUUUCAGGGAAUUUUAACCAUUUGGAUAUACCACACAGUGGUUCUGGUUCUACCAGUCUAAAUGAAUUGACUUGUUUUUCUUUCCACCAUCACUCCUCCCUUUCAAUUCAAUUCAUUCAUUCUGGUGUGCAGCCCGUUUCUAUUUAUUUUCUAUUGGUAUGACCAGAGCUGCCAUGUAAGCUUGUGCCCUGCACAAGGAUAGAUACCCCACUGGGGAACAAACGGGACCAAAAUCCACUCUGUGUUCUGCUGGCCAAGCCAGGUGACCUGGCCUGGGCUGCGUCCUCCCAGAAGAAGGGUUCAUUUUUCCAGUUUGCACAUGUGCUAUUUGUGGGUUAGCUGAGGCCCUGCUCAUGUCUUUGGUUGGUUCACAAACCAGAAACAGAACAAAUGGCCAGAAAUUAGUGUUGUAAUCAAACUAGAUUUACAACCAAGGCACGCUGAGUGGCAUUAUGGGUUUUAUCCUAUUGCAUGGCAAGGCAUUCAUGCAUGGGCUGUGCUCAGUGUCCUUUUUACUCAGCCAUGCCAACCAUGGGGAAGCAGGAGGGGAGCUUGUUGGAGAAGGCGGCCUCAGUGAGAGCCUUGGUGCAUUCCCCUGAAGCCACAGUUUGGGGCUUUUCCCUCAGCAGGGGUCCCCACAGUCUGAGUGUUUCCGGAAAUCUUAUAUCCAGAGGACCCCAAAUCUUAUGUCCAGACCCCAGGGUCUGAACUCAUAUUUAACUACUGAAAGGCAUCAGGAUAUCCCCUCUGGUUGAACUUGACCUUCUUACUGAGAACCAGCCGGGCAGGCAUCAGAUGCCUCAGGCUCCAGAGGAGAAGCUGGUGGGCAAAUAGAUCAGGAGCAACUGCUUUCACCAUCAGGGAUGAAAGUUGAAGGCCAAGAACACUUCCUUGUCCUGUGGUGCAGGGGUUGGGAUGGAGGAGCGAGUCUUAUAAAUGGAAGAGAACUAAGUGUUGUGAU